rnacentral:rRNA from 1 species
GACGAACGCUGGCGGCGUGCCUAAUACAUGCAAGUCGAACGCACAGUUUAUACCGUAGCUUGCUACACCAUAAACUGUGAGUUGCGAACGGGUGAGUAACGCGUAGGUAACCUGCCUGGUAGCGGGGGAUAACUAUUGGAAACGAUAGCUAAUACCGCAUAAUAUUGAUUAUUGCAUGAUAAUUGAUUGAAAGAUGCUAUUGCAUCACUACCAGAUGGACCUGCGUUGUAUUAGCUAGUAGGUGAGGUAACGGCUCACCUAGGCGACGAUACAUAGCCGACCUGAGAGGGUGAUCGGCCACACUGGGACUGAGACACGGCCCAGACUCCUACGGGAGGCAGCAGUAGGGAAGCUUCGGCAAUGGACGAAAGUCUGACCGAGCAACGCCGCGUGAGUGAAGAAGGUUUUCGGAUCGUAAAGCUCUGUUGUAAGAGAAGAACGGGUGUGAGAGUGGAAAGUUCACACUGUGACGGUAUCUUACCAGAAAGGGACGGCUAACUACGUG